rnacentral:rRNA from 1 species
UACGGCGAGUGAAGAGGGAAGAGCCCAAGAUUGAAAGCUGGCGUCUUCGGCGUCCGCAUUGUAAUCUCAAGAAGUGUUUUCCGCUUCGGACCAUGCCUAAGUCCCUUGGAAAAGGGCAUCAUAGAGGGUGAUAAUCCCGUACAUGGCAUGGAGCGCCCGAAGCUUUGUGAUACGCUUUCUAAGAGUCGAGUUGUUUGGGAAUGCAGCUCAAAAUGGGUGGUAAAUGCCAUCUAAGGCUAAAUAUUGGGGAGAGACCGAUAGCGAACAAGUACAGUGAUGGAAAGAUGAAAAGAACUUUGAAAAGAGAGUUAAACAGUACGUGAAAUUGCCAAAAGGGAAGGGUAGGAGGUCAGAGAUGCGGCCUAGGAUUCAGCCUUGCUUUUGCUUGGUGUUUUUCCUAGGUUGCAGGCCAACGUCGGUUUUGGGCACUGGAGAAGGGUGGAAGGAAUGUGGCACCUCUCGGGGUGUGUUAUAGCCUUCUACUGGAUACAGCGACCGAGACCGAGGACAGCAGCGUACUCGCAAGAGCGGGCCUUCGGGCACCUUUACGCUUAGGGCGUUGGCAUAAUGGCCCUCUACCAC